GAGGGAAAACAUUAGUUGACCUGGAAUGAUUUUAUCUGGGCUGAAAGCCGUCAGACAGCGGCGAAAACAUCAAUAGUCGUGAUGCUAACACGAUCGCAGACAUCACCAGACUGAGACUACGAAGCUCGUCGCCACGGUCGGGCAGCAAGAAGGACGAGCUCUGACGCACGGGAAGGGACUGGACGGGAGGAAACAUCGAUUUGGG